rnacentral:lncRNA from 1 species
AUGGGUCACCAAACAAUUCUUCACCAAACAAUGAUCUUAUUAUACAAUAGUCACCUGGGCACAAUCAGUUGCCCACAUGUGCACACACAAAACACACACACAGCACCUUUGAAGUAUAGGCAAUGUCUUCUGUCUUCACAGUGCCAUCUGCAAUCUUGCUUUGAAUGGCUUGGCCAACCUGCUCUUCAUUUUGCUACACACAAGCACAGUCAAUAUGGCGGAACCCAACCUCUAUUUGGUUGCCUCCAGAGCUUCGCUCUUAGGAACAUACAUGAGCAACAAAGGCAGUUUAAAAUCAAACACCUGGAAGGAAGGAAGAAUCAUAUUAACCUCUCCCCCAAGGAGCUGGCCUUCCCCUGGGGACUGGAGGACUUUCCAGCUGGAUGGAGACAAGAGGAGAGGACAGGGAAGCCAUGUCUGUCCUCAGCUUCCAGCUGAACCAGCCUGGGACCCUCUGCUGAGUUCUCACCUCUCCUUCCCACAACUUCUCUUUCUCUGUCCACAUAAGCAAAGAAAGGCUUGCCAUGCAUCAAUCCCAAACAUUUCUAAGGGAAUUGCUUUAGACAGAAAAAUUCUUUUUUUCCAGAUAAAGAGAUAGUUGGACCAUCUGGACAGUCUACCUGCACUUGAUCAAACUUUACACAGGUUUUUCCUUCCACACGUCCCUCUAGAAUUUGGCACAGCCUUGAACUUAAGCAAGUUGGUGGGGAGAGCAACCUCCCUGUCAGGCCCCUCCAAUGCUCUGCUGACCUCAGGAAAGAGCUCUCCCUGAUCAGUCACAGCCCCUGCUUCUCCCACCCCAACACCCUUCCCCUUCUAGCUGUGUUCACCCUUCCCUAGAAAAGUCUUUCCACUGAUCUCUGAGAUGCCUCUGUCUCAGCCAUCACCUCCUCCUAGAACAACCUGCUCUAUUCCCACCUGGUUUCCAUCAGCACUGUGAAUACUUAUCCUAAAAGCCUGAGCUCCAGCCCAUAUUCUUUACAAUGCUUAUAACCUUGCCAGGUGAGGUUAAUCGCUUUCUCUUGUGUGCCCUCACAUUAUUAUAGCCCCUAUUAAUGCAGGUCAAAAAUCCCCACAAAUGAAAUUACACUUAUAAGGAGCUUGUGCUAGAUAAAACCUCUAAGGACUGUUGCUUCAUGUUACAAUCAUGUCAUGUUUCCCCACCCAGUAUUUGUACAGUUUGACAUCUUAGAGCAAAUCACAGAACAUAACACUCAUUUAUCUUAUUAUUAUCAACCCAUCCUUCUGGGUGUUUAAGGUCAGAAUUCUGCCUUGAUUCUGUUAUCCCAUAUAGUU